rnacentral:rRNA from 1 species
AUGGUGAGGCUGGGGCCUCUCGCCGCGCAGCACUCGGGAGCGUUCGCCCGCGACCUGGGGCUGGGGAGCCCCGCGGCGCUCGUGGCCUUCGCGGUCGUCGCGACGGUGGCGGUGGCGGCCGUGGCGGCCUUCGGCUGCGCCAAGGGGGCCAAGAAGCCGCGCCGGCAGGACAACAACAACGUGUACUACUACGGCCAGGGGUACCCACCGCCGCCCCCCGCGGGCGCGUACGGCUACCCGGCGCAGCAGCCUCCCCCCGGCUACGCGUACCCGCCGCCGCCCGUCGACGCCGGGAGGAAGCAGGGAGGGCGCAUGGGAGCCGGCGCGGGUCUCGCCCUCGGCGCAGGCGCCGGCCUGGCCACCGGCGUCAUCGUCGGCUCGGCGCUCAGCUCCGGCUGCGGAGGCGGCUGCGGCGGCGGAUGCGGUGGCGGCUGCGGCGGUUGA